rnacentral:rRNA from 1 species
UACGAAGGGGGCGAGCGUUGUUCGGAAUUACUGGGCGUAAAGGGCGCGCAGGCGGCCCUUGAAGUCAGGCGUGAAAGCCCCGGGCUCAACCUGGGAGGUGCGCUUGAUACUCGAGGGCUUGAGUGCGGGAGAGGAGAGUGGAAUUCCCAGUGUAGAGGUGAAAUUCGUAGAUAUUGGGAAGAACACCGGUGGCGAAGGCGGGUCUCUGGGCCAUUACUGACGCUGAGGAGCGAAAGCGUGGGGAGCGAACAGG